UGGUGGAGUGAUUUGUCUGGUUAAUUCCGUUAACGAACGAGACCUUAGCCUGCUAACUAGUCGAGCCAAUCCCGAUUGGCCCCGACUUCUUAGAGGGACUUUGUGAUCAAACACAAGGAAGUUUGAGGCAAUAACA
rnacentral:rRNA from 1 species